GGGUGAUUGACAGAGGUUGCUAUGGAGACCUGGGCUUGAAAAAAAGCCUCGUUAGUUGCCAACUCUGUGUGUUGUUGUUUUACAACUGUGACCAACCGUCACAUGAGAGGGGGGACAGCUGGGGGCCGGGCAGCACAAAAGGGAAUGGCUUUUUAAUGGAGUGCCUGGCCUGCGCUUGAAGACUCAAUAAAGAGUCGCUGACUCCCCAAAGGCCAGGCAGGUCUCGAACUCACUACGCAGAUGAUGAUUGUGGACCUGUCUCCUUGUGCCUACUACAGAUGGACAACCACCAAGCAGGUUUAUGCGGUGCUGGGGAUCGAACCCAGAGCUUCAUGCAAGCUAGGCAAGUGCUCAGCCAACUGAGCCACACGCCCAGCCCUCUCCCUAAGAUUCUCAGGGAUGAACAAGAUUACCAUCUGGGGAACCUUACUUGCACACCCAAGUCCAGUGCUUGGAUUCCGCACUGGCAGAGAACCUCUGAAAAAGAAAACAGCAAAGGAGACACAGAGAUCUACAAGAAUGCAAAGAUGUCUUCCGUUUCUGUGUGUGUGUGUGUGUGUGUGUGUGUGUGUGUGUGUGUGUGUGUGUGUGUGUAUGAAACAGU